UGUUCUUCUUCUCUUUCUUCUUGCUCGUGUGUGGAGAGAAACAGAACGCACCAGAAACAAACAACUCUCUCUCUCUCUCCCCUCUUUCUCUCUCUAUCUAAAACACUCACACACACACGCACGCAUUUGAUCGGAGGAGACUGUGAGUCUGAGUGAGUGGAUUUCGAAAUUAUCAAAAACCUAAGGUGAAUUAUGUGUAUCGUAUUGUCGGAGAUUCACUUCCGGUGGUGAUGGACGACGUCGUUUUUGUUCCGGUAGUGGAGAUAUGGAGUUUGAUAGUGGAAUUUCGAUGUCACGAUCUCUGGUGACCGCCGAACUGUCUCCGCCGUUAGAUGACGAUGCAUUGUGGCAACUGAACUUGAGAUCAAGUGAAGCAAUGGAGUCAGGAUCGUACCCUGUGCGUGAAGGAGAGCCAGAUUGCUCAUACUACAUCAGAACAGGCCUUUGUAGAUUUGGGGCAACAUGUCGCUUCAAUCAUCCUCCAAACCGGAGUCUGGCAAUUGCAACUGCGAAAAUGAGAGGAGAAUAUCCAGAGAGACCAGGACAACCUGAAUGCCAGUACUACUUAAAGACGGGUACCUGCAAAUUCGGAGCAACGUGCAAAUUUCAUCAUCCUCGAGACAUAGCUGGGCGAGUUUCACUGAAUGUUUUGGGAUAUCCACUUCGCCCGGUUUGCAUUUACAGCUCUUAUUAUUAUAUCAUGUUUCUAUGGUUUUUUGAAAUGAUUUCGUAAUGAUAUAAUGCAGAAUGAGCCCGAAUGUCCUUAUUAUCUAAGAACAGGACAAUGUAAAUUUGGAAACACUUGUAAAUUUCAUCACCCUCAACCAUCUAACAUGAUGAUUGCGUAUAGUGGUUCUUCGGUUUAUCCCACGGUACAGUCACCAACAAGUCCAGGUCAGCAUUCGUACCCAGGUGGAAUUACGAAUUGGUCCAUGUCUAGAGCUUCCUUUGUUCCUAGUCCUCGCUGGCAAGCCCCGUCAAAUUAUGCACAGAUGAUUCUACCUCAGGGUGUGAUUUCAGUUCCUGGAUGGAAUGCCUACAGAGGUUCGAUUUCGUCUUUGGAGAGCCACCAGCAAGCAGCUGGAAACAAUCAAAUAUAUGGAACUUCACAUCUAAAUGAAUCAGCUAAUGAACCAUUAGGUGGAACAUAUUCUUCGUAUUAUGCAUUACCAACGGAAAAUGUAUUUCCCGAAAGACCCGGUCAGCCUGAAUGUCAAUUUUACAUGAAAACCGGUGACUGUAAAUUUGGUGCAGUUUGCCGAUUUCAUCACCCUAGAGAAAGGGUGAUUCCCGCACCUGAUUGUGCUUUGAGUCCAAUCGGCCUUCCUUUACGCCCGGGAGAGCCUUUGUGUAUAUUCUAUUCUCGUUAUGGGACAUGUAAAUUCGGAUCAAGUUGCAAGUUUGACCACCCAAUGGGAGUCUUCACGUACAGUUUCUCCCCAACUUCACCUCAUGCACAUUUAUUAGCAUCAUCCUCGAGUAGUGGCCCAUUAAACAUGAUGUCAGCAGGGCCCGUUAACGGACCAAUUACCCUAUCAGAAAUAAGACAAAUGCCCUCCAGUGAUAACAAUAACAAUACCGUUGACCCGGAUGAAUAAUUAUUUUCUGAAAUCAUUAUGUGGUAUUUAAACAUAUUAUUGUAAACUUCAUUUAUGUUGUUGAUGUACAGAAUAAAGUCAACCUAUUCUUCUGGAAUUUAAUUCCAUCUAAAGGCUCAAAUUAUCAAAAUCUGCAUUUUGUAAAUUUUUUAUUUCGGUCAACGUUUGGUCAAACACCAUGUGGAGAUUUUUCUGCAGGAUUUGUGAAAGAAAGCCGAAAAUCUAUCAGCACAGCGGUUGUAUGUCAAGAUAUAUUUCUUGGUGAUUAUUGGACAGAUACUACUGAUGUCGUUAAAUUAGAAAUGCCGCGGUAUGUCAAUUCAACAUUUAAGAUGGUUCUUCAAGUAUCUUGCAAACAAAUGAGGUAACCUGCACAGUAAUAUACUAACAUAGGAUGGCAAUGGGCCGGUUUUGGGAUAUGCCUUGGUAAUCUCUCUUCCAUACUCGAUUACUCAUUACCCGUUGGGAUUGUGGGCUUUAUGUUGGUAUCGAGAUCCCCUGUUUAUAUACUUAAUUACGUUUAGGGGUGUAAACGAGCCGGUCCGAGCCCGAGCUCGACUGGGCUCGAGCUCGGCUCGUCAUGUUCUUAUGAAGCUCGAGCUUGGCUCGACUCGGCUUGAGCUAUUUUGAGAACAACCUCAGACGAACUAAAAACCCAGCUUGAGUUCGCUUCAAUAUUGCUUAAAUGAGCCAAAGCUUGGCUCGCGAGCCUAAACGAGCUUUGUAUUUCAGGCUCGAGCUCGGGCUCGUUAAAGCUCGACCCAUUCGAGCUUUUUAUCGAGCCGAUAACGAGUAGCUCUCGAGCCUUUGAGCUUGUUUACACCCGUACAUGGCUGGCUUUGUUGGCCGGUCCAAUAUAGCCGUUGGGGCUAGCCGUUGCCAAAUGGCUACUUUAAUUAAAAAAGAUUUUUUUUUACAUAUUAAACCAAUAUAAAUACACACCAAUUUUUAACAUUUUUUACCACUUCUCUACUUCUACCAUAUCUCUUUAUUUUUUAUAAAAUCAACCCACAACAUCUUGCAAUGCAUCCUUUUAACCGAAGCUACGACCCAAACAACCUCUUUGGAUACCGAGAAAACCCGAACCCUAGCCCGUCACCAAACCCGACCCAAAUACCCCUUUUAUGUGGCCAUCCAGAACAACCGCCACACGGUUUAGUAUACUCAUCGUGUCUCGAUCUAGCAGGAAUCGCAUCGUAUUUAGGAAACCGUGUAUACACGAACUUUCCAUACGACGAUUCAUCUAUUCGAGUUAACCUUUCCCAACCUGAUUCCAUGCCCGAAACUCAACCGCAAGACGUUGGUGGUUCGUCAUCCAAAUCGGCAAAAAAAAAAAAAGAAGCCACAAGAAAAAAACGGAUGAAGAGAAAGCAAUUCAUCUAUUCCAGUUAACCUUUUUCAACCCGAAUCAUGAAGUUUUUAAUAUUUUUUAAAAAUUAUAUGUAGCUUUUUUUUUUAAUUUUAUUUAUAGUUUUUUAAAAUAUUAUAUCUAAUCUCCUUUUCUAUUUUAAUUAGUAUGUUAUCUUAAUUAAAUGAAAUUUAAAAUAGUUUAAACAAAAAAAAAAAAAC